UGAGUACGAGAUGCUACGGCAUCGAAGCAGUCUAUGUCAUACUUCCAAGAAAAGCUUGCACUGUCAGAAACAGAUAAUGCCUGUACCAUAACCGACACAGGUGGGUAGGUAGAGUAUACUAAGGGGCGCGAGAUAACUCUCUCUAAGGAACUCGGCAAAAUGACUCCGUAACUUCGGGAGAAGGAGUGCCUUAUUUUUAAGGUUGCAAUAACAAGAUCCAAGCAACUGUUUACCAAAAACACAGGUCUCCGCUAAGUCGUAAGACGAUGUAUGGGGGCUGACGCCUGCCCAGUGCCAGAAGGUUAAAGAAGUCGGUUAGCAUUCGCGAAGCUGGUAACUGAAGCCCUGGUGAACGGCGGCCGUAACGAUAACGGUCCUAAGGUAGCGAAAUUCCUUGUCGGGUAAGUUCCGACCCGCACGAAAGGUGUAAUGAUUUGGAUACUGUCUCGGAGAGGGGCUCGGUGAAAUAGACUUGUCUGUGAAGAUGCGGACUACCUGCACCUGGACAGAAAGACCCUAUGAAGCUUUACUGUAACUUGAAAUUGAAAUUGGACUUUAUUUGCGCAGUAUAGGUGGGAGGCGUUGAAAAUAUUCUUGCGGGAAUAUUGGAGCCAUCAGUGAGAUACCACUCUUGUAAUGUUAGAUUUCUAACUUUAUAUCAUUAUCUGGUUAAAGAACAGUUUCAGGCGGGCAGUUUGACUGGGGCGGUCGCCUCCCAAAUGGUAACGGAGGCGCACAAAGGUUUCCUCUGAACGGGUAGAAAUCGUAUCUAGAGUGUAAAGGCAUAAGGAAGCUUGACUGUGAGACCUACAAGUCGAGCAGGGACGAAAGUCGGUCUUAGUGAUCUGACGGUGCUGAGUGGAAAGGCCGUCACUCAACGGAUAAAAGUUACUCUAAGGAUAACAGGCUGAUCUCCCCCAAGAGUUCACAUCGACGGGGAGGUUUGGCACCUCGAUGUCGGCUCAUCGCAUCCUGGGGCGGUAGUACGUCCCAAGGGUUGGGCUGUUCGCCCAUGAAAGCGGUACGCGAGCUGGGUUCAGAACGUCGUGAGACAGUUCGGUCCAUAUCCGGUGUAGGCGUUAGAAUAUUGAGAGGAGCCUUCUUUAGUACGAGAGGACCGAGAAGGACAUACCUCUGGUGUACCAGUUAUCGUGCCAACGGUAAACGCUGGGUAGCUAUGUAUGGAGUGGAUAACCGUUGAAAGCAUCUAAGUGGGAAGCCCACCACAAGAUAAGUAUUCUC
rnacentral:rRNA from 1 species